GUGGAGAAAAAUUAGAGUUCUUUAUUUUACAUGCAUUCAAAGAAGUCAGAGAGCUCUGUUUCCACACCUAAACACAACACAUGAAAGGCAUUGGCAAACCACUGGGAAAAAGACUGGCAAUACAAUCGAAGUAUUUACAGCAUUUGUGAAGCUUAUCUAGGUGGCAGACCCAGCUUGGUUUAAACAGUGGGCAGCAGAUAAGAGAAUGGGCCUCUCUAUCUGGGUUCAACUUCAGUCGUGAGUGCUCUCAAUUUUCUACAAUUUCUAGGAGUGCAGAAUUCCUGUUUGGCAACAUCAAAAAUUCUGUGGCUGGAGAUUGACCAACGCACUCUGAUCACAGAUUUGGUGUUGCAAUCUGACUGAAGCAGAGGCUGCCAAACCAAGCUUUCUUCAGAUACUUCCUAGAUUUCUUCAGAUACUGCCAGUAGGGCUGGACACAAAUGCCAUUCCCUGCCAGAAACAGCAAAUGACUCCACUUUUCAGGGAUCUGCUUCUUACCUCCUUGUCCCACCUGUCCCCACUACUCACCAGCAUGCCCUUACACCUUACACCCACUCUCUGUUGGAAACAAGUUUAAUCCAUGGGGUGAUUACAGGUACACAUCUAACAUUAACCAGAGAGAAGUGCCAAGAGGGAGGUGCUCAUCUGGUAAUGCCCAAGGCAGGCAGACAGCACACACCACCCCAGUGGCAAUUCACACCUGACAAGCCAUUCUUCCCUUGCAAACCCUCAUGCCAUUUACUGCUGCCACAUCAUUCAUGACUAGCUCAAGUCACACAUCUGUACUGCUAGGUUUGCUGGGGUAUUUUUCAACUGACUUUUCAGGUCUUGUUGAACAUCCUGGUUAAAGGAAUCCACUGGAAGGUCACUUUUAGAUGCAGCCAGCUGUUAGAUAUUACUUUCUGGUGACCACAGACAAUACAAGAGUUGUGUUUCGUUGCUGGUUUUCUUCUACCAUGUUUUCAGCAGGUUUAUCAGAGAUCUGUAUUACAAGGCUAGCCAGACAACUGUUAUUUCACUGCUUGGACAAAGUAAAUUGCUCUAGGCUUUACUACACAGGCAGAAGAAACAUUCCUGUAUUACCUGUAUUACCAUAGGGAAGUCCCUAUGUGGCAAUGGCAUGAAGUAUAAUUAUUUCAGAAAGAAGUUGCUUUUAUUCAUAGUGUGACACACUCAAUAAUGUUACAUUGGUACAGCUAGGGCAGAAUAAUUAUUCUCUUACAGAUUCAAUUGCCAGAUUUUCCACCUAGACAAGUUUCUACUGUAUCUCCAGAAGCAGUGGAAGUCUACAAGGGGAAUUUGCAUAAAGACUUUUUCUGAACCCUCAAGCAGCUUGAUGAAGAGAUUGUGGGGUCACCCAUAUACAUACUGGCAUUCACCCUCUUUCUCUUAGGAACAUAGUAAUGGAAGCUCUUAGGAAUGACUACAACUCCAUUUCAUACAAACACAGUUUCCUUCAACAUCUACUUUUUACUAUAUGUGGUCAAGCAAGCUGAUGCAGAAGGAGGCAGAGAAGUCAAAGCUGUUUACAUACACACAACCCCUUUAAGGGAAUUAUUCUGGGUUUAUAUCACAACUAAUCACCAGCCCAUGCCCUUGAUUUGCCAAACUCCUCACUGCAGUACUGACAGUUUCAUAGUUGUGAACACCCCCAGACUGACAAUUCUAGGUACUAUGAAGGGUCAGCUCUGCAUCUUUCUUCUCCAGAUCAAUUUUCAGAGCAAAGAGCUAAUUCAGAUGGUUUGCCCGCUGAGGCCUUGGGGCUCUAUUUUCUGGGCUGUUUGGGGACCAUUUAUUUUUGUUUACUUGUCUGUUUUCAUUUGUUUUGUUAGGAUUUUACAUAGGGAACAAACUGCUGCUAUUUUUUAUUUCAGACCUUCACAUCUGCCUGACUGGAAAGCAUGGAAAUCAGCAACUGUUUUGACAAGAUCAAGGAGGAAACUGUUGUCCAUCAUCUAUGGACCACAUCAAAAUAACAACAGAUGAGAAGCACAGCAUUUGGGAGUUUUUCACUCCAAUACUUCCACUGUCUUCAUCUGACAUAAAAUGUCUCUACCCUGCAGUAUCAGUGACAUGAUAAAUUAUCUCCUUAUGAAAAAGGCAGAAAAACCAGAUGGGGAUCCAUUAACUUCUCUCUGUGGUGCUCAUUCUCUUUGCCUGAACAGAAAUAAGGCUCUCCCAACAUCCAGAAACAAACACACAAAGUUUCACAACUCAGUUGCCAAGCAACCUUCUAAAACUCCUUUAAAAGAAGAAAAAGGAAGAGCAAGAACAAGACCCUCACACUCCACUGUUGAUCACAGAGCAGUUGUUCACCUUCACCCAGUCAAGUACGAACAGUAAAGCUGCAUACUGAA